rnacentral:rRNA from 1 species
UGGGGGAUAUUGCACAAUGGGCGAAAGCCUGAUGCAGCGACGCCGCGUGGGGGAUGAAGGCUUUCGGGUUGUAAACCUCUUUCGCUAUCGAACAAGGCCCACUUAGGGUGGGUUGAGGGUAGGUGGAGAAGAAGCGCCGGCUAACUACGUGCCAGCAGCCGCGGUAAUACGUAGGGCGCGAGCGUUGUCCGGAAUUAUUGGGCGUAAAGGGCUUGUAGGCGGCUUGUUGCGCCUGCUGUGAAAACGCGGGGCUUAACUUCGCGCGUGCAGUGGGUACGGGCAGGCUUGAGUGUGGUAGGGGUGACUGGAAUUCCAGGUGUAGCGGUGGAAUGCGCAGAUAUCUGGAGGAACACCGAUGGCGAAGGCAGGUCACUGGGCCAUUACUGACGCUGAGGAGCGAAAGCAUGGGUAGCGAACAGG